rnacentral:rRNA from 1 species
UAGGGAAUCUUCGGCAAUGGACGGAAGUCUGACCGAGCAACGCCGCGUGAGUGAAGAAGGUUUUCGGAUCGUAAAGCUCUGUUGUAAGAGAAGAACGAGUGUGAGAGUGGAAAGUUCACACUGUGACGGUAUCUUACCAGAAAGGGACGGCUAACUACGUGCCAGCAGCCGCGGUAAUACGUAGGUCCCGAGCGUUGUCCGGAUUUAUUGGGCGUAAAGCGAGCGCAGGCGGUUAGAUAAGUCUGAAGUUAAAGGCUGUGGCUUAACCAUAGUACGCUUUGGAAACUGUUUAACUUGAGUGCAAGAGGGGAGAGUGGAAUUCCAUGUGUAGCGGUGAAAUGCGUAGAUAUAUGGAGGAACACCGGUGGCGAAAGCGGCUCUCUGGCUUGUAACUGACGCUGAGGCUCGAAAGCGUGGGGAGCAAACAGGAUUAGAUACCCUGGUAGUCCACGCCGUAAACGAUGAGUGCUAGGUGUUAGACCCUUUCCGGGGUUUAGUGCCGCAGCUAACGCAUUAAGCACUCCGCCUGGGGAGUAACGACACGCAAGGUUG